AAAGUUCAAGGGGGCCGAAUACUUUCGCAAGGCACUGUAAGCAUUGGCAAUAGUCAUUGACUAGUCAAGCAGCGCCGAUGGAGAGCCGACUCCCUGUCGUGACCCAGGGGAGUCAGAGUUUGGAGGAGGGCUGAAGUGAAGUCAGGCGGGCACUAGUGAAGUGAUCGAUCUGAUUGGACAGACUUUUGUCAGUGGUAGCUGACCAGUGUGAUUAUGGCCAAUAGCAAGCAGACCAUGUCAGUGGAAAUGAUGAUAAACCUGGGUGAUGGUGGUAAUCGCAAAAGAGCUGCCUCCUCAAACACUAAGCCCACUGAGUCAAGAGAGAACAGUGGCGCGCACCACUGCCUGACUCUCCCUCUCCUCUGGGAUUUUCCAUCCUGUCCGUGACUGAUCCCAUACAACACGACACUGCCCUCAUUUAUAUGGCAUAGUAUAUCUGUUUUUAUCUGGCUUUGUAGCAAUGUUUUAUACCACAUGCCAACUUCCUUUUCCCUGUUUUUAUCCUUUUGAUCAGAAAACAUGAAUGUAGAAUGUAAUGUUGAAGGGAUAAAUGAAUGUACACCUUUCUUCCCUCCAGACACAGGAUGGGUGUUCCCGGAAAAAUAACAAUGGAUCAAGUGAGAGAAGAGCAUCUAAUAGUGAAGGUGAUGAAACGUCACAUAGAAGAAUUGCAAAAGUAAAGUGGAGGUUUGAGAGUGUGCUGAAGUUUAAGCCCCAGGCACCACCAGGGUGGGAAGGCUGGGAGGAAUAGGAAGCGACGUGGCGGUAGGAGAGCAUCCUGCCACAUCAACCAGCACACCUUCUUUACUGAAGAGGGAGAUAUCACAGAGCCCAAGCUGAGCAAGACCUUUCAAAAAAUCACAUGUCCUGAUCUGUCUUCAGGUUCAGAGGUUCCUCCAGAAAGUUCAGAGAGGAAUACCCCUCUGGAGUUGGAUAGUACUGAGCAACCCUCUCAUCAGAACCUCUUCACCAGAAUAGAAGAUGAAGAGGAUGAUGAGAUUCAAUUCAGAAGAGAGGUGUACUCACUGGACAUACCAGACUACUUAGUUCCCGGAGCACCUGAACACAAUAACACAGAGGCUACUGGGAAGGAAAAGAAGAACAAUAAUACCAAG